CAAUCAGUAGCCGGGUUCUGUCUCGGCCUCUUGGCUGGCUCUGACCUAUCACCACAUGUCGCCGGUGCCUCGGCUUUUGCCCGGUCAAGGGCACGUUGCUCCUCGACGGAGGUGAUCGCAAAGCGGCACACUGGGCAGCGACGGUUAAAGCGAAGCCAGUCGAAGAUGCAGCGCUGAUGGAAGGAGUGGUAGCAGGGCAUCCUCCUCAGCUUCUUUCCGCCUUCCAGGAAAUCCUCAAGGCACACCCCGCAGGCGAAGAUGACUGCCAAAGAGUUUGAGGAGCUUGCCCUCAAUGGCCACAAUUACCAUACAUGGGCUAUGGACAUCAAGAUCAGUCUUGCGUCCCGUGGGAUAGCGCGUGCAAUACAACCCCCGGAGACUCCUCUCCCGGAUGGGGGCCAUGCCGCUGACAGAACAGCAGAACUAUGCUGCCUUAUUCAUCAUAAGGCACCAUAUUCAUCCAGAUCUCAAGUUUGAGUAUUUACAGGAGGAAUCUCCUAGUACUCUGUUUCUGGCCCUCAAAACGAGGUAUGAACAGCAGAAGGCAGUAGUCCUGCCAGAAGCACUCCAUGAUUGGACUCAUCUCCGUCUUCAGGAUUUCAAGUCCAUCGGUGAGUACAAUCAUGCUGUUCAUAAGAUAUGUUCCAAACUGCGUUUUUGUGAGAAGGAACCUACUGAGGGGGAGAAGAUAGAAAAAACUUUGUCUACUAUGCUCCCUUCAGAUAGGAUCCUCCAACAGCAAUAUCGUGCUCGUAACUACACUAUCUAUUCCGAGCUUAUUCACAUGUUACUUCAGGAUGAAAAGCAUGAUGAGCUACUCGCUAAGAAUGGCUCUUAGCGCCCAAUUGGGGCACAACCUUUA